CCCAGAGCUUGCACAAGCUGCACAGUUGGUUUGUGCGUGUUUAUUAGGUAUUUGGCAGAUUUCGACCUGAAGCUACAGCAGACCCUACAGGGUACAACAGGAAGAAGGAAGAGGAACACUCGGCAUCGUUUCUGGAGCAUUUUCAGGGGUGGCUGCUAAUGAAAACAGUGAGAUCUCUGCUCUUAAGGUUGUCUUCAUGAAAAUGUCCACUGGAUGACUACGAUAAAGAAAUGAAGAAUGAACAGACAGAAAAGGUAAUAAUAAGAAAAAGUGAAUUUCUAACUAUAUGCAGAACUACAU
rnacentral:lncRNA from 1 species